rnacentral:misc_RNA from 1 species
GAAUCGCGAUAGGAAUUGCGAAUUGCAGAAUUCAGUGAAUCAUCGUAACUUUGAACGCAAACUGCGCUUGGGGGUUGACCCCGAGCAUGCCUCUUUGAGUGUCGGUCAAACCAUCCUGCUGGUUUUCCACAGGGUCGUGAGAGUCUUGACGGUCUCUGCAAGUACGGCAGCUCCCGCGAGGGAAGCGGUCUGCGACUGGCGCGAGGUCUUAGCGCGUGGAGAUGAUGUUUUCACAAGCGACCGAGCGGCGGCGUGGGCUGCAGUGCUCUUGUGUCUGUGACACCCGACCAUCGACCUCAAAUGAGGUAGGAUUACCCGCUGAACUUAA